rnacentral:rRNA from 1 species
UGGGGAAUAUUGGUCAAUGGCCGAGAGGCUGAACCAGCCAAGUCGCGUGAAGGGUGAAGGAUCUAUGGUUUGUAAACUUCUUUUAUACGGGAAUAAAGUGAGCCACGUGUGGUUUUUUGUAUGUACCGUAUGAAUAAGCAUCGGCUAACUCCGUGCCAGCAGCCGCGGUAAUACGGAGGAUGCGAGCGUUAUCCGGAUUUAUUGGGUUUAAAGGUGCGUAGGUGGUUUCUUAAGUCAGCGGUGAAAGUUUGUGGCUUAACCAUAAAAUUGCCAUUGAUACUGGGAGACUUGAGUAUGUUUGAGGUAGGCGGAAUGCG